rnacentral:rRNA from 1 species
AAUAUUGGACAAUGGGGGCAACCCUGAUCCAGCCCUGCCCCGUGUGUGAAGGAGGUCUCCGGAUUGUAAGGCACCCUAGGCUGGGAGGAAGGGCUUUAGGCUAAUACCCUGAAGAUCUGACGUUCUCAACCGACUAACGACCGGCUACGUGUGGUCCAGCAGCCGCGGUAAUACAGAGGGUGCAAGCGUUAAUCGGAAUUACUGGGCGUAAAGCGCGCGUAGGUGGUUCAGUAAGAUGGGUGUGAAAUCCCCGGGCUUAACCUGGGAACUGCUUUCAUAACUGCUGAGCUAGAGUACGGUAGAGGGUAGUGGAAUUUCCUGUGUAGCGGUGAAAUGCGUAGAUAUAGGAAGGAACACCAGUGGCGAAGGCGACUACCUGGACUGAUACUGACACUGAGGUGCGAAAGCGUGGGGAGCAAAC